AGUGACGAUAGCCUAGGAGAUACACCUGUACCCAUGCCGAACACAGCAGUUAAGCCCUAAGAACGCCUGAUGUAGUUGGGGGUGCCCCCUGUGAGAUAAGGUAGUCGCUUAGCU
rnacentral:rRNA from 1 species